UGCGCCACCGCGUUUGGUUGAUCUCCCUAAGGGGCGGAGAGGGGCGGGACUUACAAAUGGGCACUCUUGACUGAUUCGUCCUGUAACGGGCCAAUAGGGAACAGGGAAACUGCUUCCGGCAACCGGGGCGCAGUGGAGGCGGGAGUACGGAAGCGGAUCAGUGGUUGACUGCUAGUUAGGAAUGAGGUUUUUUUUUGUUUUUGUUUUUGUUUUUGUUUUUGUUUUUGUUUUUUUUUCUCCUAGGUAUUGGGCAGAAGGAAGGACUGAAAUACGGGGCGACUCGGGAGGCGCCUCUGCCUCUCUGGGCUCGUUGAUUCAGGCACCAUACUGAGGAUUUUUAUAUCUAUUAAUUAGUCGUUACAGCCUAAUGACUUUGCUCUUGUAAAUGGGUUCAUUCUCUGUUGGCAGCUGGAAACCUAGUAUUGUCUGUCACCAGAAAAUACUAAGUGAUACUCAUUAGCAACUAUUACUUCCACCUCAAAUGUCCUAUCUCUGUUAUAUAAAACUGUCCGCAAGUCCUCAGAAAGAAUUGUCAAGAGUUUUAUCCUGUUGAGGAAAUGUCAUAGAAGGGGAGUCCCCAAGAUGCACUUCGGUAGUCUUCUCUACUGUUUGGUACAGAGCAGAUUCCUCGAUUGGGUUCAAAGGAGGUCCAAUGAAUCCUGAAGUCGACUUCUGCACUAAAUGUAACAACUCCUCUUAUGGCUGCCUAAAAUUAAAUGUCUCAAUAUCAUGUUCAAAUUUGGAGAGAGUCCCCAGAGAUUAGCCUGAAUUCACUGAGCUGUCUCUAACAUCAACAAAAAGGUUCUCUCUUCAAAGAAAAUCAGGACAGCAAGUGUCUCUGAAAAUGACCAAGAGAUACUAAUUUCUCAGGCUUCACAAACCAGAAUUAAAGUGGUCAGGAGAGGAUUCAUGCCUACUCUGAUUUUACAGCUAUUGUGUGCCAGAUGUUGGUGAUCAGCUGUGAAGAUAAGAAUAAAGCUGAUUUCUUCCCUUGCAGAGGAGUUUUGUGACUUUUUCUGAGAAGAUGUGAACACCUAUUCAUCCCAGAAAGGACACAGACAACAGACCCAAGAAAUAAUUGUAUCCAAAAGAAGAGGAGAUCUCCAAACUGCUCUUUCUAUUUUCUUCAAGCAGUUCUCUCUUACUAUUCUAAAAA